rnacentral:rRNA from 1 species
CUCCAGUUGAUCGCAUGGUCUUCUGGGAAAGCUUUCGCGGUAUGGGAUGGGGUCGCGUCCCAUCAGCUUGACGGCGGGGUAACGGCCCACCGUGGCUUCGACGGGUAGCCGGCCUGAGAGGGCGACCGGCCACAUUGGGACUGAGAUACGGCCCAGACUCCUACGGGAGGCAGCAGUGGGGAAUAUUGCACAAUGGGCGCAAGCCUGAUGCAGCGACGCCGCGUGAGGGAUGGAGGCCUUCGGGUUGUAAACCUCUUUUAUCGGGGAGCAAGCGAGAGUGAGUUUACCCGUUGAAUAAGCACCGGCUAACUACGUGCCAGCAGCCGCGGUAAUACGUAGGGUGCAAGCGUUAUCCGGAAUUAUUGGGCGUAAAGGGCUCGUAGGCGGUUCGUCGCGUCCGGUGUGAAAGUCCAUCGCUUAACGGUGGAUCCGCGCCGGGUACGGGCGGG